rnacentral:tRNA from 1 species
ACUUGGCUAGCUCAGUCAGUAGAGCAUGUGACUCCUGAUCUCAGAGUUGUGAGUUUGAGCCCCAUGUUGGGUG